UUUUUGUUUUUUUUUUUUUGGUCAAUAAUAAAAAAGACACCUUAAAAAUAAUAUGGAAGUUCCUUAGAAAACUAAAAAAAUAGAACUACCAUAUAAUGUGGCAAUUCCGCUCCUGGGUAGGUAUCCAGAAAAAAUGAAAACUCUAAUUCGAAAAGAUAUAUGCACACCAAUGUUCACAGCGGCACUAUUUACAACAGCCAAGACAUAGAGGCAACCUAAGUGUCCAACAGAUGACUGGCUUAAGAAGAUAGGAGGUUUGUGUGUGUAUACACAUACAUACCAAUGGAAUAUUACUCGGCCAUAAAAAGAAUGCAAUACUGCUGUUUCCAGCAACAAGGACAGACUUAGAGAAUAUUUUGCUUGGUGAAAUAAGUCAGAAUAUUUUGCUUAGUGAAAUAAGUCAGAGAAAGACAAAUAUAAUAUUCUUUCUUUUUUGGGGGGUCAUUUUAGGGCUGCACUGCGGCAUAGGGAAGUUCCCAGGCUAGGGGUCGAAUUGGAGCGGCAGCUGCUAGCCUACUUCAUAGCCAGGCCAGAUCUGAGCCACAUCUGUGACCUACACACAACUUACAGCAACAAUGGAUCCUUAACCCACUGAAGCAAGGCCAGGGAUCGAACCAUUGUCCUCAUGGAUGCUAGUCAGAUUUGUUUCUGCUAAGCCAUGAUGGAAACUCCUAUAAUACCAUUUAGAAUUUGGUAAGGGGAAAACCAGCCUCCUGUCGCCCGGGUCCUUUGCAUCAGAAAUACAGUAGUUUUGAAGUGUCUGUUGUGUCUAAGAACCUGACUAGUAUCCAGGGUUCAAUCCUUGGACUUGCUCAGUAGGUUAAGGGAUCCAGCGUUGCCUUAAGCUUUUGGUGUAGGUUGAAGACAUGGCUUGGAUCCAACACUUUUGUGGCUAUGGUCUCGGCUGGCAGCUGCAGCUCUGAUUUGACCCCUGGCCUGGGGACUUCCAUAUGCCAGGGGUACGGUCCUAAAGAGAGAAGAGACAGACAGGAGUUCUCAGAUCAAUUCACCACCACCAUCACAGAACCAGAGAGAUGAACAGACAGGUAGAGAUCAAGUGGAGGAGAUCCCACUGUGGCACAGCAGAAAUGAAUCUGACUAGUAACCAUGAGGUGGCAGGUUCGAUCCCUGGCCUUGCUCAGUGGGUUAAGGAUCCCGCAUUGCCGUGAGCUGUGGUGUAGGCCAACAGCUGUACCUCCAAUUGGACCCCUAGCCUGGACCCUCCAUAUGCUGAGGGUGUGGUCCUAAAAAGCAAACAAACGAACAAAAGAUCAACUGGAGCUCUUUAAUGAUAGCUACUGGCUUAUGAGAGGCAGCCUAAGUUCUGGGAGCCAACUGGUGAUCUCAGAACAUGGAGCCUUCAAGCUAAAAAGUGGUGGCUGUGAGCAUUGCGUGUGGCACUCUUCCUAGCAAUCACUGGGAAUGUAUCUUCCAGGUGAAACUCGAGCUCUUCAACUGUAAGGUGUUUAUAGAGGGUGCCCAGAUGGGUCACACUUCAAAAGUGUCACGCUGGCAGUGGUUGGCUGGGACUGUGCUGCAGAGCUUAUUACCAGCUCACCCAAAAGAAACCUUGGCCACAAACCCCCAGCAGUGCUUAGAAUCUCUGAACUUGUGGCCAAUUCUGAGUCAACUAUCUUAAAAAGGCCAACAGGCUGGCAUGGCUGCUCUGACACUGUAAACAUCCAGUGUAUUCUGGGACCUUGUCGCUUCCAGCUCAAGAACUUCCUGUGGCUUGAAGGAAGCCUGAGGAGUUUCCCUUUCCUGCAUCUCAAAGCCUCCCACAGCCUGCACAAAGAGGCCACGGAAACCUGUGGCCUCAAUCUCAUCACAAAAUAAUUUUGAAAAGAAAAAUCAUAGCACAGAUGAGCACACUUUGAUACACAUUUUUGUACACCAGGUCUAAUUGAAGAAAAAUCUCCUCCGUUCCUUAAUUCGUCUAUAGAUCCUUGGCUUGCUUCCUAUUUCCAUUUUCCUAUUAAUCCACUUUUUUGAGUAAAGAAUUCAAAUGAGACAAGACUUACCUACUAGCAGCAAAAAGUGGAGACAACAAAAAUGACUACUUUGAACUAUUAUGCCUAUGAAGUUUUAUAUAUCGAAUUUCACCUGUCUUCACCCCCUUAAACAAGACAGGGAUAUCCCUCAAUAAGACCAUAAAUGCAGGAAAAACUUAAUAAAAUGUUAAUCACUAAUAAAAAUAUAAUGAGGUAAUACGAGUUUAAGGUAUGAUCAGAGAGGCACCCCGGUGUUUAGGCAAGGAAAAUCUAACAACCAGAUUCCUCCACCUAUUCAGUGCUUUAGGGCAUAUUGCAUAAAUCUUUUCACUUUCUUUGUAAGGAUGGCUAUGGCACUGUCUAAUAUUCUGCCUGCACCACAAGGUGUCAUGAGGCUCCCGUAAGCUGGUGGUUGUUAAAAUUAUUCACUAGCCCACAGUAAAACAUUACUGAUAUCACCAUCAUCUCUCUUUCCUCAAUGGACCUUUUCCUGCCUUUUUCUUUCUUUUGGUUUUAUGGAGAAAACUGGCCCACAGGAAGCACUCUGUAAGGUUCCUUGUGAUGAGAACUCCUAGCACUUCCUCUUAACAACCUUCCCCCAACACACGGCAGUGUUAAUUACAUUGAUCACGUUGGACAGAACAUCCCUAGGACCCAUGUAUCUUACAACUAGAAGUUUGUACCUCUUGGAGUUCCCGUUGUGGCGCAGUGGUUAACGAAUCCGACUAGGAACCAUGAGGUUGCGGGUUCCAUCCCUGGCCUUGCUCAUGGGUUAAGGAUCCGGUGUUGCAGUGAGCUGUGGUAUAGGUCACAGACUCGGCUCGGAUACCGUGUUGCUGUGGCUCUGGUAUAGGCCAGCAAGUACAGCUCUGAUUAGACCCCUAGCCUGGGAACCUCCAUACGCUGCAGAAGCGGCCCUAGAAAAGGCAAAAAGACAAAAAACAAACAAACAAACAAACAAAAAAAAACAAAAAAAAACCCCAAACCUCUGAGUUUGUUUUUUCCUCUCUCUCUUUCAUUUUUGGCCACCCCACAGCAUAUUCCACUCCUGGGCCAGGGAUCAGAUCCAAGCCUCAGUCGUGACCUAAGCUGCACUUGCAGCAAUGCCGGAUCCUUAACCCACUGUGGCGGGCCAGGGAUCGAACCCACAACCCGGAGCCCCUAAGACGCCACCAAUCCAGUCGCACCACAGUGAAAACUCCAAAACGUAGGGUGUUAAAGUACAGAUUCUUCUGCUCUUCCAUCUCUGCUGGAAAUUCCCAUAAUUUCUCCAUUAGAUGUUAGAAGACAAAUGAGAUUGGAGGAAAGGAUUCCCUUACUCUUCCUGUGGUGUUAGGUGACUUAGCAACUGAUGCAAAGAGUCCAGGGCCCUAAAGAAUUCCAGAUGGGGGAGGGGCAGGAGUUUUUAAUCAUUCAUUCAGUCUAUUAUUUCUUGGGUGUUUCCUAUGUGCCAGGCUCUGUUUUGGGUGAAGGAGACUCCUGAAAUUUUAGGGACUGGAGAAGUUUAGAAAGCUUAGAGAUACUAGGUACCAAGUAUACAACGGUAAACUCAAGAGAUAGGUCUCAAAUUUCUGGGAACUUACAUUUUAAAGUGAGGAGAGAAGUUCCCUUUGUGGCGCAGCAGAAACUAAUCCGACUAGUAUCCAUGAGGCUGGGUUCAGUCCCUGGCCUCACUCAGUGGGUUAGGGAUCUGGCAUUGCUGUGAGCUGUGGUGUAGGCCGGCAGCUGUAGCUCCAAUUCCCCCCUAGCCUGGGAACUUCCAUAGGUGGAAGGUACGGCCCUAAAAAGAAAAAAGAAAAAAAAAUUGGCAAGGAGAAAGUCUGUCAGGAAAAUUAUUCUAGGAGAAAUGUUACCUAAAUCAAAAGAGAACUGGAAGGGGUCUUUUACAUCUCCCAGUCCAAACUCCUCUAUCUUGGGCGCCAAUUAGAUGGAUUUCCCAGUUAAUGGCUUAAAAUACUGGAACGAAGGACAAAUCAAAAAGUCCAGAAAUAGGCAACAUAUGCCUUUAAUAAAAACCCUAGGAGUUCCCCACGUGGUUCAGUGGUUAACGAAUCCGACUGGGAACCAUGAGGUUGCCGGUUUGAUCCCUGGCCUCGCUCAGUGGGUUGAGGAUCCGGCAUUGCCGUGAGCUGUGGAGUAGGUUGCAGACGUGGCUCGGAUCCCAAGUUGCUAUGGCUCUGGUGCAGGCCGGCAGCUACAGCUCCGAAUGGACCCCUAGCCUGGGAACCUCUAUAUGCCGUGGAUCGGCCCUAGCAAAGGCAAAAAGACAAAAACAAACCAAAAAAACCCAAAAACCCUAAAAUGACUUUCUGAAACAAAUCAAAAUUUCCAACAAUGGAGAGGUGAGAGAAUGAAACCCAGCUUGCUCACAAUUAUUAUAGCGGUGGUGCGUGGAAGUGUCACGGCACAGGGAUGGUGAUCUGGAAGAGGCAAGGGAGAAAGCUAAGCUCUGCUAUCACACGGUCACAGCCAGCAUGGACACCAAACUGAACCGAAGAAAGUGAUGGAUAAUGACGCAGCAUUGCGAGCUGUGAAUUGACUCCGUUUAUAAGUAAAGAUGUAGAAUUAGCGAUGAGUGUGGAAGAGAAGAGAGAAACAUUAGUACAAACGUCUUGGGACAAGAAUGCUAUGAAGCACAUGAGGUUGAGGAUGAAAUCCUAACUUACUAUAUAUAACCCUAGGUGAUAAGCUGUAGUGGGUUCGAUCCAUAAAACCCCUUGGCAGCAUGACAGAAAUUUCAAAUUAGGUACCUCUUGGUACUGCUAUGUGUAAAUAUGAGAACUAGUAAAGCUUACUUGAUUGAAUAUUGAGACAAGAAUCUGCACCCAACAUGAGAAAAAUCAAAGCAGAGACAGCCCAUUAGGAAAUCUUAUCAGACUGUUUCUCCCCAGGUUUAUUCACUUUAAAAAAUUAUUUAGGAGUUCCUGCUGUGGCACAGUGGGCUAAGAAUCUGACUGCAGCAGCUUGGGUUGCUGCAGAGGUACAGGUUCAAUCCCAGCCCAAUGCAGUAGGUUGAAAGACCUGGCGUUGCUGCAGCUGUGGUCACAAGUGCAGCUCAAAUUCAGUCCCUGGGCGGGGAACUUCAUGUGCUACAGGUGCAGCCAUUGGGGGGAAAAAAAAAAUUCCCAUUUAUUCUAGCUACAGCUGCCUUUUUUAUUCCUCCUGGUGUGAAUGUUCCUGUGAUCUGCUGACAAAUGCUCAGCAGAAGAAAAAAAGAAAAAAAAAAAAAAAA
rnacentral:lncRNA from 1 species